GAUGAACGCUGGCGGCGUGCCUAAUACAUGCAGGUCGAGCGAACGGACGAGAAGCUUGCUUCUCUGAUGUUAGCGGCGGACGGGUGAGUAACACGUGGAUAACCUACCUAUAAGACUGGGAUAACUUCGGGAAACCGGAGCUAAUACCGGAUAAUAUUUUGAACCGCAUGGUUCAAAAGUGAAAGACGGUCUUGCUGUCACUUAUAGAUGGAUCCGCGCUGCAUUAGCUAGUUGGUAAGGUAAAGGCUUACCAAGGCAACGAUGCAUAGCCGACCUGAGAGGGGGAUAGGCCACACUGGAACUGAGACACGGUCCAGACUCCUACGGGAGGCAGCAGUAGGGAAUCUUCCGCAAUGGGCGAAAGCCUGACGGAGCAACGCCGCGUGAGUGAUGAAGGUCUUCGGAUCGUAAAACUCUGUUAUUAGUGAAGAACAUAUGUGUAAGUAACUGUGCACAUCUUGACGGUACCUAAUCAGAAAGCCACGGCUAACUACGUG
rnacentral:rRNA from 1 species